rnacentral:lncRNA from 1 species
GUUUGACGUUACUUUCCAAUCCGAACCAAUAGGUGGCAGCAAUGCAAUUAAAAUGUAGAUAUCUGAAGUUAGGACAGAUUUAGGACUAAACAUCAGUGAUAUAUUUACAUUACACAGGAAAAUGAAAUAAUUAGAAACUAAUUCUACUGCACUGAAAAGCAAUCAAAGGCGCAGUAUGGUAACCAUGGUGACAAAAGAGAGUGAGGGUUUGCAAUAGACGAUCUUUGAUGACCCGGAAGUACAUUUGCUUCGCUUUGGUGUUUUUGUAAACGGGAACCAUUGAUGUAUUCUAUUCAUGGUUCUAUUAACGUGAACGAUGUGAGAAACGAUUCAAGCUAAAGUUGAACUUUUCUAACAAUACAUCUGGAGUAUUACCUAAUGUAACAACUUUGUAAUGGAUUAGAUUACACAUUGGACCUUGUACCAGCUUUAUUUGACCCGCUCGUCGCAUUAGCUUGUUAAGCUAACUUCUCCGUGACCAGCUUGUUGCAGGCCGGGAGGACGGCACAAUGGACGUGAGCAUCGCUGUAUCCCUGAUCCGUGGUCAGAUGGGGGCCGUGGUCGAGCGGGCCGUCAAUGGAGCAGUGGAGACGGUGUUGGGGGAGAUGCUGAAAGUUGUCGGGGUGAAGUUUGAGGAGCUGAAAUCCCAAGUGGCACUGAUGAAGAGAGACAUGGAGACCCUGCAGCGAGAAAAGGCCCUGAAGGACAAAGAGAACGAGAACAUGCGAGCCAAACUGCGCUACACUGAGCUCAAGCUGAAGUAUUAUCGACAGGGCGUAGAAGAGGAGCUCCAGCAGCGUGUGUCCGCCGCGGCUCUCACACACAGCUUCUCCCCGUCAGGACAGGUCACGGGACAAGUAAACCCUGAGCCAUCAUGUUCAGGUCAGACCAGAACUGGGACCACAAGCACCUCUCCCCAGACCAGCGGCAGACACAGCGGGAGAGGGCAGUACCAGACGGAUGUGGAUGAAGUGAAUUCUAAUCCAUCAAAUGUAAUGCUGCCUCUGAUGAGCACAUCUACUGAGUCUCUGAACAACAGCACAGGUCUGUUGUCUCAAGACCCCUCAGUAAAUAAUUCAGAUGACCAGAACCUUGAAUGGAGCAUCACUCUGCAGCCGAACACAGACGGAGGCGCCAUGCCUGGAAUCCAGAUUCUCAGUUUUAAGCCAGAACAGCAGUCGUCUACAGGCUCGAGCUCCUCUGAUGUAUCCACUCACGCAGAUAGCUCCACGUUGCCCUGCUCUCCACCACAGGUGAAGCAGGAGCCACGACAGGAGGAUGAAGUGAUCUGUAUCAAAGAGGAGCCAGAGGACGAGCAACAAGAGACGGCCAUGUUUGAUUGCCAGGUUCAGCCAGGCCAAGUGUCAGAGGUUAUAAGAAAUGCAUCAGACAGGUCUGCACCACAGACAAGUGGGAUAAACGCAGCAGGCAGUUCGUCAGGAUGCACCAUCUCUAUGAUGUCCCAGAUAGCAGCCUCUCUUCCGUGCUCCCUGUCGGGCUCGGUGUCCAGCAUCACUGCUCAACAGCUUUGGCCCAAAAGAGCUCUCCGUUUUUCUGAGGAAUUAAAAAAACACCGAAAAGACCAGCAAAGGCGGAGUUGGAUUAAAUGCAGAGAUCUGGAGAAGACGCUCCCUCAGCCCCUUCUGUCCGAAAUAUUGCAGGAGCGUCGAGAAAAGACCAGACUUCGGGUGGCAAAAUGGAGAGCAAAGAAGAAACUCCAGGAGGCUCGGGCUCGAGGUGGCGCAACUUCAUCAAUGUUGCCAGGUCACAACCCAAACCUGCAACUUAGAGCAACCUGUGGCUCAGUGUCUGGUUUGCAGCAGAGACAGAAUACAGCAGUUCGCUUCCAGAACAACUAUCUCUGCAAUAACUCUGCACCUGGCAGUGUCCAACACACACAUCCCUACAUGGGCCCGUCCUCAUUCUCUCCUUCACUGUUCCUCAAAGACCCUAGUGUGGGCUCACUCCCCACACAGCACACUGUUACCUCCUCAUCCUCAUAUCCUCAGGUCAACGUAACACAGCAAAGUGUUCCUCUCAACGACCCAGAGAUUAUAGAGUAA